ensembl:snoRNA small nucleolar RNA SNORA26
GUGCCCUUUUAAUAUUGACGUAGUGCUUUAGGAGGCUAACCCAAAAGGUCACAGGAAGGCUCCAUAAAGUCCAGAGAGGAGAUUGGAGAACUCCACUUUGGAUCCUGUCUGGAGACAUAGCU